rnacentral:rRNA from 1 species
GAGCGCAACCCUUAUCCUUUGUUGCCAGCGGUUAGGCCGGGAACUCAAAGGAGACUGCCAGUGAUAAACUGGAGGAAGGUGGGGAUGACGUCAAGUCAUCAUGGCCCUUACGACCAGGGCUACACACGUGCUACAAUGGCGCAUACAAAGAGAAGCGACCUCGCGAGAGCAAGCGGACCUCAUAAAGUGCGUCGUAGUCCGGAUUGGAGUCUGCAACUCGACUCCAUGAAGUCGGAAUCGCUAGUAAUCGUAGAUCAGAAUGCUACGGUGAAUACGUUCCCGGGCCUUGUACACACCGCCCGUCACACCAUGGGAGUGGGU